rnacentral:rRNA from 1 species
GCCUACGACCAUAUCACCCUGAAUGCGCCCGAUCUCGUCUGAUCUCCUCGGAAGCUAAGCAUGGUCGAGCCUGGUUAGUACUUGGAUGGGAGACUGCCUGGGAAUGCCAGGUGUUGUAGGCU